AUUUAUAAGCAUGGAAAUCCCCUGAGUGAAACAACGAAUUGCUGUGUGUAGUCUUUGCCCAUCUCCCACGAUGGGCUUUUUUUUGC
rnacentral:antisense_RNA from 1 species